rnacentral:rRNA from 1 species
AUUGAACGCUGGCGGCAUGCUUUACACAUGCAAGUCGAACGGCAGCAUGGGUGCUUGCACCUGAUGGCGAGUGGCGAACGGGUGAGUAAUGUAUCGGAACAUGUCCGGAAGUGGGGGAUAACGUAGCGAAAGUUACGCUAAUACCGCAUAUGCCCUGAGGGGGAAAGGAGGGGAUCGCAAGACCUUUCGCUUUCGGAGUGGCCGAUAUCAGAUUAGCUUGUUGGUGAGGUAAAGGCUCACCAAGGCGACGAUCUGUAGCUGGUCUGAGAGGACGACCAGCCACACUGGGACUGAGACACGGCCCAGACUCCUACGGGAGGCAGCAGUGGGGAAUUUUGGACAAUGGGGGCAACCCUGAUCCAGCCAUGCCGCGUGAGUGAAGAAGGCCUUCGGGUUGUAAACUGCUUUUGUACGGAACGAAAAGGUUUGGCCUAAUAAGCUGAGCUCAUGACGGUACCGUAAGAAUAAGCACCGGCUAACUACGUGCCAGCAGCCGCAGUAA